AAUUCUUCCUUUUCGUCGUCGUCGGCGCUGAGGACGAACGCCGAGAAUCGCCGCGGCAAGAGCGUACUCGCUCGGGCGCACAAUGAGCCUCCCCUUCGCGUGUUAAAGCGAGAGUCCGUCGUCGUCGUGAGGAAACGCGCCCGGUACGACGUACGUCGAGAAUCGCCAAUGUCGUCGCAAUUAAAUUCAUAUUGUUGCAAGCGUUUCAAAGCGAUCCGUUAAUAACACGCUUGCUGCGGCGACGAUGGCACGAAGAUGGGCUUCGUUCGUUUCUUCGAGCGUGGACACUGUGAAAUUACCGAUUAUUUUCUUCGCGAGAAUGUCAUUUUAACGAAAAGGAAUUUUCUUGUUGUUAUAACUAAUAAUUGCCCGUAGUCACGUUGGCUGUAGGAGCGUUAACUACGUCGAUACGCCGCGGUUUUUUUCAAGUCGCUGGCAGCGGUCGCGGUGUCGCGAAUGAGUCACCCGUCUGCAAUAAAGUCGCAACAAACUAACGCGAAAUUAUAGUUGCAACGAUGCGACUACUUUCCAUAGUUGAUAGUUGCAACCGGUACGAGAACAGCGCAGUAAAAUCGCGUGACGUAGUGGCGGGCACGGUAAUAUCCUUCGUCCCGAUUUCCCCUGCAUCUCGAACGGAGCGGACAAGCGCUAAGCGCUAUUACAAGAAAAGCGACUUUUAUGUAAAACUAAAGUUUGGGGUUUUUUCACGCUUGAGAAGGAUCGAAAUAGUUGGGUCGAAACGUUGCGUGAUUUGUCAUCACUGUAUAACCAGUUUGUGGUCGAAUAAAUAAAUUUCUAUAUAUAUUGAUUCACUGGUGA